ensembl:lncRNA novel transcript
GAGCAGGAGCCCCCGGAGCGGCAGGGAAAGGAACGUAGAGCCUGCAUGCUCGGGGUAUGAGCUUACUGCGCUCGCUAGGGUGGCGCGCACUGGGGCUCUAGAAAAGAGGGUUGAGAAGCCCCGGGCAAGUGCCUAGGAAGGUCAGAGGAGUCAGCAAAGUCCACGGAAGAACUUCCCCGGGUUGGAGAGGAAACGCACCCUGGGAGCUGGAAAGAAGAGGAAAGCUAGCCUGGGGGAAGCUUGAUCAGGGCUCUGAGUACCACGAGGAGUGCAGAGGAGGUGCUGAUGAUUGCGGGGAGAGCUCUGAGAGCCCGAGAAAGAUGGGGAAACUGAAGCCCUAGAGGAAAAGAAGACUAAAUGUAUUACCAUCUGACCCACUUCCUGGCCAGCCUGUUCACCUGUCUGCUGUUCUUCAUUGUGGCAGGUGUAUGUGUGAGUUUGCAGCUCAAUCCUGGCCAAGGGGAUCCAAGGACUGCUGAAGAGGCAUGUCUGCACAUGUCACCUAGAACAUCUCCAGCCAUCAUGUGAUCUCUGGGGGAGGCAUUCCCAACUCUCUGAGAGAAGCAGACCAGAAAGAUGGAAAGAAAGCACCUGGCUCCAGGAUGAUGACAUUGAGCCGAUGAAUUAACCACCUUUGUGCUGCUCUAACCUUCAGAGUUCACCUUAACAUGAGAAAAUAAAACCCUUAUUGCUUA